AUGUUCCACAAGGGCAAGACUCCACCUCUUUGGUUCACAGCUAUAUACCAAGCGCCUAAAACAGUGUCUGGGACGUGGUGGGAGCUCAAUAAACAUUUGUUGAAUGAAUGGCGAUACGCCAAGCCUCCUUUCCUCAUCUGUGAAUACUCUAUCUGGAACGGCUGCUGCAUAAGGAAAUCACCUAGCCCUGAACUUGACGCACAGGAGGCGAUCAACAAGUUGUAUUUUUCCUUCCCCUCAACAGCAGACGGGGUCCCCAGGCUACUGCAACAUAAGGGUCUGGGUCCCUGCGCCCACGCAGCCCCCGCUGGGUGGUGGGGAGCACGUGGGCCGGGAGGGCGGGGUGGGAGCGGAGCAGCGCGAGGGGAGGGGGCGCCGGCCGGCGACUCGCGCGGAGCCGGUCUCCCCGGCUUACGUAAGGCGCGAGUCCCGCGCGGCCGGCUGGGGCUCGGAGUGGGGGCGGGCGGAGGCGGCGCCGCCCAGCGGGAUCCGGGCUGGAAGCCUCGCGGAGCGCCGCGUCCCAGCCGAGGGGCGCCCGGAGAGUCCCCGCGCGAGCGGAGAGUGUCAGAGGCUGAAGCAGCAGCAACAAAGUUCCCGGGGCUUCUCCGAGGCUGCUGUCCGGGUUGCCUGUUUGGCCGCCCCCUCCCUGCCUGGCGAAGGCAAUGGCUUCCAAACUCCUGCGCGCGGUCAUCCUUGGGCCGCCGGGCUCGGGCAAGGGCACCGUGUGCCAGAGGAUCGCUCAGAGCUUUGGCCUCCAGCAUCUCUCCAGCGGCCACUUCUUGCGGGAGAACAUCAAAGCCAACACCGGGUGAAAACUUCUGAAUGUUGGAGGAUAGAACGGUUGUAUUCAGGAGACUUGACGGAGUUGAACAAGGUAUCUAAAACAACUUUAAAUAGUUAACCUUUGCGUAGAUCAUAGAGUGUCUUGGCUUAUUAUAAGAUUUCUAGAAUAUUCUGUGUUCCAUUUUUUCCCCCCUAGCUUGGUAUAGCCCAGGUCAAGGCAUUGAGGGAGCAGAAGACUAGCUGAAGACAAAGCAUAAGCUGACACCCUGCAACCUCCUCCCCCCACUCCUGGGUGGGACAUGUGUGAUAUUCUUUCAGGAAGCUCCCAGCUGUCAUAAUGUUAAUACCUUGCUAGAGGGGAAAACAACCUUAACUUGACAGUGGCAAGGCUUGUGGUAUCUUGUAGGUGGGUCCUCUUUAGCAUGCGAGAGUUCUUUUGNCUAACUUGACAAUGGCAAGGCCUGUGGUAUCUUGUAGGUGGGUCCUCUUUAGCAUGCGAGAGUUCUUUUGAAACCUCCCAUUUCCUUACUCCCCCGACUCCCAGUAUAUAAUCACCACUCUUCAAAAUCCUGGUGCAGGCGCACUUUCUGCCUGUACGUGCUGUCCCUGUGCUUUAAUAAAACCACCAUUUUGCACCA
rnacentral:lncRNA from 1 species